AUUGAACGCUGGCGGCGUGCUUAACACAUGCAAGUCGAGCGGUACAGCGUAGCAAUACGUGCUGACGAGCGGCGAACGGGUGCGUAAUACAUGGGAAUCUGCUUUUAGUGGGGAAUAACCCGGCGAAAGCCGGGCUAAUGCCGCAUAAGAUCUUCGGAUGAAGCGGGGGAUCGUAAGACCUCGCGCUGAUAGAUGAGCCCAUGCCGGAUUAGCUAGUUGGGAGGUAACGGCUCACCAAGGCGACGAUCCGUAGCUGGUCUGAGAGGACGGCCAGCCACAUGGGACUUAGACACGGCCCAGACUCCUACGGGAGGCAGCAGUGGGGAAUAUUGGACAAUGGGGAAACCCUGAUCCAGCGACGCCGCGUGUGUGAAGAAGGCCUGCGGGUUGUAAAGCAUUUCGGUGGGAACGAAAUAUGCCGGGCUAAUACCCCGGUAGGCUGACGUUACUCAAUGAGAAGCACCGGCUAACUCUGUGCCAGCAGCCGCGGUAAUACAGAGGGUGCGAGCGUUAAUGGAAUUACUGGGCGUAAAGCGCACGUAGGUGGCGACGUAAGUCGGGUGUGAAAGCCCCCGCUCAACCUGGGAACUGCAUUCGAGACUGUGUUUCUGGAGUACGGAAGAGGAGGGCGGAUUCCCGGUGUANCGGUGAAAUNCGUAGAUAUC
rnacentral:rRNA from 1 species